CGAGCCGCUGUUAGGCUGACGGCGCCGUGUGGUCUUCUUUAAGCUCGAGGCCGGUGCGCUUAGCCAGGAGGAGGGGGUCCGAGAGGCGUGAAUGUCCUGGUGCGUGAAGGCUGGACACAGAGCUAUAAACGUGACGACGAUGGCAAAAGAGAAGAAUUGGGCACAUGAUUCUUUCUGAUGCAGCGCACAGCAGGACAUGCACAGCUCACUCGGUGAAGUGACCCAGGCCCCAGACGGAGAGAGACUGAGUGGUUCCUUGCGACCUUUGUACCAGCGAGUGAUGGGAGCUGCUCCAAAAGAAUACACCCUGAGCCAUCGCGACUGGAGGUCACUGGAAGCAGUUGCAGCCAUGCUGGCUUUUCCUCAGAGCGCUGACCCUACCGGGACACCUGACACUGGGUCUGGAAUCGGCAGAGACCUUUUCUGUUUCCAGGUGCUGUGAGGUGAUGACUCUCUAAGGUCUCCACACACACCCCCUCAGCCAUCCUGCUGUUCCUUGUGUGUCUCUGCUCUGGACUCCUCCACCGCGGGACAGAAAACUGGGAGCGUCUCCAUCAUGUGCACAGGGCCAGGAGCUGGGUCACAGGUCUCCCACCAUUCUCCACACCUUCAGGGUGUAACAUGGGCUCGAACCCGGGUCAGAUAGGUGUUGACACCGACAGCCUACUGGGUGAGCAAGCACACUCUAAUGAUGGUGGGCCCGUGUGCAAACCAGUUCGAUCACAGAACCGGUAAAACAAGAAAAGUAAGUAACCAAAAGGUGGGGAGUGAACCCCAGUCACUUUGUUGCAAGCGGGUCAAAUACCUGCUAGACUGCUGCAGCUAUAAAACUACCUGCGCACAUAUCGCCCUUCAAAGGAACGGAGGACGACAAAACUGGAGAAAAAAACUAAACACCACGCCGAGCGUGGGAAAAGGGAGAACCAAGGACGCCACGGGAAGAACGGAAGCCCCGAUGCCCUGCGGAACACCAAACUAAAUCUUCCCAAACAAAACCACAAAACACGGAGGAACUGUAAUGGCUAAGGGGAGCCCUGGG